GAGAAUGUUGGCAUGAGUAGCGAGAUGUGGGUGAGAAUCCCACAGGCCGUAAACCCAAGGUUUCCAGGGGAAGGUUCGUCCGCCCUGGGUUAGUCGGGACCUAAGCUGAGGCCGAAAGGCGUAGGUGAUGGACAACAGGUUGAUAUUCCUGUACUACCGAUAACCGUUUGAGAGAUGGGAUGACACAGUAGGAUAAGCUAAGCACACUGUUGGUUAUGUGUGCCCAAGCAUUGAGGCAGUCAAAGUAGGUAAAUCCGCUUUGAUAAUGCUGGGAUGUGAUGGGGAGCGAAAUUUAGUAGCGAAGUAGCUGAUUUCACACUGUCAAGAAAAGUCUCUAUCGAGGUUAAAGGUACCCGU
rnacentral:rRNA from 1 species